rnacentral:lncRNA from 1 species
UUAAAAAUGCAUUUAUUUUAUUUUAUUUAUUUUCCUCAGCAAAGCUUGCUUAUUUAUCUAAGUUUCACUCCACAGCCAGGUUGCUAAGAGACAAGGAGUAGAUAUUAUGCAAGAGUGAGUAGGAGAUGAGAGAAGUGUGUGUGAGAUUCCUUUUGCUAGAAUUGAAUUGCAUUUCUAUUGUGUGUUGUGUCUAGGGUGGUAGACUUGUAUAGGUCCCUUUUAGUGAGCUCAGUGAGCCUUUCUCUUUAAACAGCUGCUUAAAAUACUUUUGGGGAAAUUGCAAGAUUGGGAGGAGACCCCAGUAGCUUUCCACUAGUUUUCUAGCAUUGCAUCUUGGAGACUUUGUGUAACACACACCUAUGCAAUUUUGGGGCAGUCGCCAUUUUAUCUGCCAUCUUGAUAAUUUUUGAAUUUCAACUUUAAGCAGAAAAGCAGCCUUACUUGUUUGAUAUUGGCUGGAACUUAUAAAUACCUGUAUGAGGUCAGAUUUAGCAGAAUAUAUGCUGUUAUUUUAUGCCUGAAUAGAAGAAGCCAUCGAUGGUUCCAAGAUCGGGAUAUUUUCCAACACCGGAUAAUUUCCAGGAUCAAGACAUUUCCCAAGGUCGGGUCGUUUAGGAGACUGGUGAAUUAUUAGUAAGCUGAGAAUAUAAAGCGCCGUCUUUGAUGGAGGUUUUCGGCCAACAGAUAAGUUAUUAUAAAGAACAGUGAGAGAGAAAGCAGGAGGACUUUUCUUUAAAUGUGAACUCGAUUUCUGAAUAUCAGAAAGUCUAACGAUUGGAGAUUUGAGAUUGAAGAUACAGACAUUAAUAAUGACUGAACAGUUGAUUGAUAGAAGUAUUGAUUUGAAUUUGGAUCCUUGUAAGAUAUGUCGGAUGAUAGUCUUGGGCUAGAGUUUGGAGAACAGCUCAAGUUUCAGGUGUUAGAAGAUAAAAUGUUAUCAGAAAAAUAUAUUAGGUCAGAGAUACAAAAUGGUGAAAGUAGAAUUAUAUAUGAAGGUGGAUUAAUGCAGGAUCCUUUCAUAAUUAUGAAUGUUUGGUAGUUAUGAUUGUGAAAA